CUGCGGUCUCCAGGGGUAGGGGACUCAGUCCCAGCUCACGGUCUCAGGGUGGGGGACUCGGUCAGCUCAGGGCUCAGGGGUCGGGGGACUCAGUCCCAGCUCCGCGGUCUCCAGGGGUCGGGGGACUCAGUCCCAGCUCAGGGGCUCCAGGGGUCGGGGACUCAGUCCCAGCUCAGGGGCUCCAGGGUCGGGGAUCGCAGUCCCAGCUCAGGGGCUCCAGGGUGGGGGACUCAGUCCCAGCUCAGGGUCUCCAGGGGUCGGAGGACUCAGUCCCAGCUCAGGGGCUCCAGGGGUCGGGGGACUCAGUCCCAGCUCAGGAGGCUCAGGGUCGGGGACUCAGUCCCAGCUCAGGGGCUCCAGGGGUCGGGGGACUCAGUCCCAGCUCAGGGUCUCCAGGGGUCGGGGGACUCAGUCCCAGCUCACGGUCUCCAAGGGUCGGGGGACUCAGUCCCAGCUCAGGGGCUCCAGGGGUCGGGGGACUCAGUCAGCUCAGGGGCUCGGGGGAGGUCGGGAACUCGGUCCCGGCUCACGGUCUCGGGGUUGGGACUCAGUCCCAGCUCAGAAGCAGGGGGCUCAGGGGUCGGGGACUCGGUCCCAGCUCAGGAGUCUCCAGGGUUGGGGAUCUGGUCCCAGCUCAGAAUCAGAAUUCGGAGGACUCAGUCCCAGCUCAGGGGCUCCAGGGGUCGGGGGACUCAGUCCCAGCUCAGGGUCUCCAGGGGUCGGGGGAUGCGGUCCCAGCUCAGGGGCUCCAGGUGUGGGAGCAGCCCAAAACCCCUCUCAGGCUGGGAUGAGGGGCCGGGCUAUGGGGCUUCAGGGGUCCUGCUCUCCCUCUGUGACUCUGUUCCUCUUCUCGGACUCCCACCUUCCACUGCUGCCUCUCUGCUCUGUCCUGUUCUCUCAUUUUUGUAGCUCAAAAAUGCCCCACCCUCUCCAGGUCCCUUCUGACUUCUAACUUUUCUCAGUUCAAGCAUCCAGAGAAGCCAGCCCACACCUCUGUGUUCCUGGUGACCAGGAAAGAAACUCGAUGUCCACCUCCUGGUGACCAGGAAAGAAACUCGAUGUCCAGCUCCUGGUGACCAGGAAAGAAACUCGAUGGGCUGGCCCUCCCAGGCUGCGUUCUAGUUUCUGGUGACUAGGAAAGAAACUCGAUGUCUAGUUUCUGAUGACUAGGAAAGAGACUCAAUGGGCCGGCUCCCCCAGGCCACUUGGCCAGGCGGGGUCCACCUGGACACCAUCACCAGUCAUGCUGAUGAGGGGCUAUGAGGCUCCGGGAUGGAGGCCACUGCCAACGUUGGCCCACGGGUGCUUGGAGCAGUAAGAACUGGCCCUCGGCUCCAGGUCCUCACCUGCGAAUCCAUGGGUGGGGAAGCCCACGGCUCCAGGUCCUCACCUGGGUCUCCCUCCCACCUCGCAGGGCAGCCCUGGGCCCUGGUGUGUGAGGCUGAGGCACGUGCCAGGGACGCUGUGGCACUCGGUGCUCCUGGGAAGGGAUGUCAUUGAGUCCCUCAAUUCCAACACCAUGGAGGAAAUCCCCUAGGAUGUGUCCUCCCAGACAUUCGGGGGCACCAACUCCUCGCUGGGUGAAGGGGCCUGAGCCCACCCGAGCCAGGGGCAGGCAC
rnacentral:lncRNA from 1 species